rnacentral:rRNA from 1 species
UACGGGGGGGGCAAGCGUUGUUCGGAAUUACUGGGCGUAAAGGGCUCGUAGGUGGCCAACUAAGUCAGACGUGAAAUCCCUCGGCUUAACCGGGGAACUGCGUCUGAUACUGGAUGGCUUGAGUUCGGGAGAGGGAUGCGGAAUUCCAGGUGUAGCGGUGAAAUUCGUAGAUAUCAAGCGGAACACCGGUGGCGAAGGCGGCCUUCUGGACAGUGACUGACGCUGAGACGCGAAAGCGUGGGGAGCAAACAGG